AUUGAACGCUGGCGGCAGGCCUAACACAUGCAAGUCGAGCGCGAAAGUCUUCGGAUGAGUAAAAGCGGCGAACGGGUGAGUAAUGCAUGGGAAUCUGCCUGGUAGUGGGGGACAACGUCUCGAAAGGGACGCUAAUACCGCAUACGCCCUACGGGGGAAAGGGGGGGAGUCUUCGGACCUCUCGCUAUCAGAUGAGCCCAUGUCAGAUUAGCUAGUUGGUGAGGUAAAGGCUCACCAAGGCGACGAUCUGUAACUGGUCUGAGAGGAUGAUCAGUCACACUGGAACUGAGACACGGUCCAGACUCCUACGGGAGGCAGCAGUGGGGAAUAUUGGACAAUGGGGGCAACCCUGAUCCAGCCAUGCCGCGUGUGUGAAGAAGGCCCCCUAAGGGGUUUGUAAAGCACUUUCAGUGGGGAGAAAGGUUAAUUCACCUAAUACGUGAGUAGAUUGAUGUUACCCACAGAAGAAGCACCGGCUAACUCCGUG
rnacentral:rRNA from 1 species